rnacentral:rRNA from 1 species
UGGGGAAUUUUGGACAAUGGGCGAAAGCCUGAUCCAGCAAUGCCGCGUGUGUGAAGAAGGCCUUCGGGUUGUAAAGCACUUUUGUCCGAAAAGAAAUCCUUGGCUCUAAUACAGUCGGGGGAUGACGGUACCGGAAGAAUAAGCACCGGCUAACUACGUGCCAGCAGCCGCGGUAAUACGUAGGGUGCAAGCGUUAAUCGGAAUUACUGGGCGUAAAGCGUGCGCAGGCGGUUUGCUAAGACCGAUGUGAAAUCCCCGGGCUCAACCUGGGAACUGCAUUGGUGACUGGCAGGCUAGAGUAUGGCAGAGGGGGGUAGAAUUCCACGUGUAGCAGUGAAAUGCGUAGAGAUGUGGAGGAAUACCGAUGGCGAAGGCAGCCCCCUGGGCCAAUACUGACGCUCAUGCACGAAAGCGUGGGGAGCAAACAGGAUUAGAUACCCUGGUAGUCCACGCCCUAAACGAUGUCAACUAGUUGUUGGGGAUUCAUUUCCUUAGUAACGUAGCUAACGCGUGAAGUUGACCGCCUGGGGAGUACGGUCGCAAGAUU